rnacentral:rRNA from 1 species
AUUGAACGCUGGCGGCAUGCCUUACACAUGCACGUCGAACGGUAACAGGUUAAGCUGACGAGUGGCGAACGGGUGAGUAAUGCAUCGUAACGUGCCCAGUCGUGGGGGAUACCUGCUCGAAAGAGCAGCGAAUCCCGCAUCCGACCCGGGGGUGAAAGCGGGGGAUCGCAAGACCUCGCGCGCAUGGAGCGUCCGAUAUCGGAUUAGGUAGUUGGUGGGGUAAAGGCCUAGCAAGCCUACGAUCUGUAGCUGGUCUGAGAGGACGACCAGCCACACUGGGACUGAGACACGGCCCAGACUCCUACGGGAGGCAGCAGUGGGGAAUUUUGGACAAUGGACGCAAGUCUGAUCCAGCCAUGCCGCGUGCGGGAAGAAGGCCUUCGGGUUGUAAACCGCUUUUGUCAGGGAAGAAAAGGUUCUGGUUAAUACCUGGGACUCAUGACGGUACCUGAAGAAUAAGCACCGACUAACUACGUGCCAGCAGCCGCGGUAACAC